rnacentral:rRNA from 1 species
GACGAACGCUGGCGGCGUGCUUAACACAUGCAAGUCGAGCGGUAAGGCCCUUUCGGGGGUACGACGAGCGGCGAACGGGUGAGUAACACGUGGGUGACCUGCCCUCAGCUCUGGGAUAAGCCCGGGAAACUGGGUCUAAUACUGGAUAUGACUCCAUGACGCAUGUUGUGGGGUGGAAAGCCUUGUGCGGCUGAGGAUGGGCCCGCGGCCUAUCAGCUUGUUGGUGGGGGAUGGCCUACCAAGGCGACGACGGGUAGCCGGCCUGAGAGGGCGACCGGCCACACUGGGACUGAGACACGGCCCAGACUCCUACGGGAGGCAGCAGUGGGGAAUCUUGCGCAAUGGGCGAAAGCCUGACGCAGCGACGCCGCGUGAGGGAUGACGGCCU